UGCAGCUGUGUCAAAUUCGGUGCCCGCCCACCCCAUGGCCGGCGCUGGCCAAGAGGCUGCCACAGAAACACAGUGACCCAUGGGCCCUGGUGCCCUCUGCUGGGCCUCAGGGAUAAAUUUGGUCACGGACACCU